rnacentral:rRNA from 1 species
CGGAUCGGAGUCUGCAACCCGACUCCGUGAAGCUGGAUUCGCUAGUAAUCGCGCAUCAGCCAUGGCGCGGUGAAUACGUUCCCGGGUCUUGUACACACCGCCCGUCACACCAUGGGAGUCGGAAAUGCCCGAAGUCAGUGACCCAACCGUAAGGAGGGAGCUGCCGAAGGUGGAGCCGGUAACUGGGGUGAAGUCGUAACAAGGUAAC